UUUAUAGUGGCAGAACAUGCGUUAGCUUUAAGCGCUAAAGAUAAGAGUCCUUCUAU
rnacentral:tRNA from 1 species